GACGAACGCUGGCGGCGUGCUUAACACAUGCAAGUCGAACGGAAAGGCCCCGCUUUUGUGGGGUGCUCGAGUGGCGAGCGGGUGAGUAACACGUGAGUAACCUGCCCUUGACUUUGGGAUAACUUCAGGAAACUGGGGCUAAUACCGGAUAGGAGCUCCUGCUGCAUGGUGGGGGUUGGAAAGUUUCGGCGGUUGGGGAUGGACUCGCGGCUUAUCAGCUUGUUGGUGGGGUAGUGGCUUACCAAGGCGUUGCCGGGUAGCCGGCCUGAGAGGGUGACCGGCCACAAUAGGACUGAGGUACGGCCCAGACGCCUACGGGAGGCAGCGGUGGGGAAUAUUACACAAUGGGCGGAAGCCUGAUGCAGCAACGCCGCGUGCGGGAUAACGGCCUUCGGGUUGUAAACCGCUUUCGCCUGUGACGAAGCGUGAGUGACGGUAAUGAGUAAAGAAGCACCGGCUAACUACGUG
rnacentral:rRNA from 1 species